UACAGAGGGGGCUAGCGUUGUUCGGAAUUACUGGGCGUAAAGGGCGCGUAGGCGGCCUGUUAAGUCGAACGUGAAAUCCCCGGGCUCAACCCGGGAACUGCGUCCGAGACUGGCAGGCUCGAAUCCGGGAGAGGGAUGUGGAAUUCCAGGUGUAGCGGUGAAAUGCGUAGAUAUCUGGAGGAACACCGGUGGCGAAGGCGGCAUCCUGGACCGGUAUUGACGCUGAGGCGCGAAAGCCAGGGGAGCAAACGGG
rnacentral:rRNA from 1 species